rnacentral:rRNA from 1 species
AGCAGCCGCCGCGGGAAUACGAAGGGUGCAAGCGUUACUCGGAAUUACUGGGCGUAAAGCGUGCGUAGGUGGUGGUUUAAGUCCGUUGUGAAAGCCCUGGGCUCAACCUGGGAAUUGCAGUGGAUACUGGGUCACUAGAGUGUGGUAGAGGAUAGUGGAAUUUCCGGUGUAGCAGUGAAAUGCGUAGAGAUCGGAAGGAACAUCUGUGGCGAAGGCGACUAUCUGGGCCAACACUGACACUGAGGCACGAAAGCGUGGGGAGCAAACAGGAUUAGAUACCCCAGUAGUCCCUGUCUCUUAUAA